rnacentral:rRNA from 1 species
UUUGAUCAUGGCUCAGAUUGAACGCUGGCGGCAGGCCUAACACAUGCAAGUCGAGCGGUAGAGAGAAGCUUGCUUCUCUUGAGAGCGGCGGACGGGUGAGUAAUGCCUAGGAAUCUGCCUGGUAGUGGGGGAUAACGUUCGGAAACGGACGCUAAUACCGCAUACGUCCUACGGGAGAAAGCAGGGGACCUUCGGGCCUUGCGCUAUCAGAUGAGCCUAGGUCGGAUUAGCUAGUUGGUGAGGUAAUGGCUCACCAAGGCGACGAUCCGUAACUGGUCUGAGAGGAUGAUCAGUCACACUGGAACUGAGACACGGUCCAGACUCCUACGGGAGGCAGCAGUGGGGAAUAUUGGACAAUGGGCGAAAGCCUGAUCCAGCCAUGCCGCGUGUGUGAAGAAGGUCUUCGGAUUGUAAAGCACUUUAAGUUGGGAGGAAGGGUUGUAGAUUAAUACUCUGCAAUUUUGACGUUACCGACAGAAUAAGCACCGGCUAACUCUGUGCCAGCAGCCGCGGUAAUACAGAGGGUGCAAGCGUUAAUCGGAAUUACUGGGCGUAAAGCGCGCGUAGGUGGUUUGUUAAGUUGGAUGUGAAAUCCCCGGGCUCAACCUGGGAACUGCAUUCAAAACUGACUGACUAGAGUAUGGUAGAGGGUGGUGGAAUUUCCUGUGUAGCGGUGAAAUGCGUAGAUAUAGGAAGGAACACCAGUGGCGAAGGCGACCACCUGGACUAAUACUGACACUGAGGUGCGAAAGCGUGGGGAGCAAACAGGAUUAGAUACCCUGGUAGUCC